CUAGCAACUGGCAUCGCAUCCCCACUGUCUCCAGCCCCUCGACUGCUGUUCCCUCUCUUUCUGCCUGUGCUUCCUCUCCCCAGCUCAACGUGGCUCUGUUGAGGUCACCUUGCUGCAUCUCGCCUCUUUCCCUCCACGGCUUGGAUCUAUUAUCCCUGGGAAGUACUCCACCUGUGGGAGUCUAUCUGCCUCUCUGCCAUGAUCCAGUCUCUCCCAGACCUUUCAGCUCCCUCAUUAAAUAUUGAACAAAAAAUUAAUGGGCACCUGGUGUGCAGGAGGGACUGUGCAAUCGACUGCGAUACAGUGAAGAGUCACAUAGACAUGGCCCCUUCUCACGGAGACCUGCACCUGGGGCAGAGCACAGCGAUCCAAUAAUGACUUACCUAAAGGCUUAGUUACAACCAAGGCAAGUGUCGUGAAGAAAGCACCGCUUCACAUCCCCCACAUCUUCCAGGUCUGGUGCUGGAGAGGAGGGCGUAGCCUCCAUGUAGCCCUCAGUGAACGACAGACCCGAGGCAUCCACCAAUGCUCAUUAAAGUGGUUUCCAAGCGUUCCAGAAUAUGUGGGAGAAAAUAUACCCUUGGAAAUGUUGAAAUGUUUUAUAAGCAAGCACAUCCAGUUCCUGGGCAGCUCCAACUUGCUUGGCUCUCAUUUGCCCGACGGCUCAGCUGCAAUGCUGCCAAGGAAAACAGUCAUUGAAAGUCACACAGGAAGGAUGCCUUUCCCAGCUUCUCCCUCACGCCUCUCGGUGGUACCAUGUGGGUCACUCUUGCUGUGGAAGGUGAGCAGGAGUGCCACGCCACUUCCAGUUUGUGGCUGUGUAGAUCAGGCGCCUUCUCUGUCUUCUCUCUCUUUUCCACUCACGUGACUAGAGGGAAGGAACUCCAAGAUGGUGAAAUACCAAGAAGGAAGGAGACCCUGAAUGAUUUUGGAGGAGGACCAGGCAGGAAAGCCACCUGACCCACAAGAGCAAGACAGAAUCCUAGGCUGAGUGAAGCCAUUGAGAUUUCAGGAUUUAUCCUUAGGGCAGUUGCCUUUGCUUACUCUGACUAAUACAUUCAAUGUUCUCCUCUAUGAACUCCUGACAAUACAACACUAUUUCCAGUGAGUGAAGUGUUCAGAGAGAAGGGUGUGUGCAAAUUCAUGGCUAAGUUUCAAUCAAUCCGCUAUAAAUUGAUAUGGUUUGGGGCAAAUGGGAAGAAGAGGAUAUUCAGUUGUUGUUAUUUAUAUUGUCAUGUAUAGGAUGCUGUUAUUUCCUUGAUUCUCUCUUCUUUGGGCAAAGAGCAGACUCAUACUCAGAGGAUAAGUCUGAGAGCAGAUAGGAAAUGAAUUCCACAGUCAUCUUUAUAUAUUGGUCUCUUUUCAGGCCCAGCCCAGUGAGAUUGGAUCUGAUUGUUUGUUGGUGUCAUUUAUGUCUGCAAUAGAUGUCUAAGAAUACAGCAUAAAGAUGCCCAGGUGCUCAGCCCUGCACUGAGCUGGAGAGAGGGCCGAAGGCUCACCUUUCAUGCAUUGCCAUGGACCUCGCAGCCACGGAGCAGGGAGGGGUUGACAACACCAGGAGCUCAGCCUGACACCUUCCACUCAUGUCUCCUCGGACCCUUCCUGUGCUAAUUAUGAUCCUUCUUGGAAAUAAAAAACCAAACAUUUGAUGGCAGAUACAGACAAUGAAAUCCUAUCCAGCUUUAAAAAGGAAGAGUAUUCUCACACAUGCUACAGUGUGGAUGAGCCUUGAGGACAUCAUGCUGAGUGAAAUCAGCCAGCUACAAAGGACAAACACUGUGGGAUUCCACUCAUAUGAGGUUCCUAGAAGAGGUGAAUUCAUAAAUACCAAAAACAGAAAGGUGGUUGCCAGGGGCUGGAGGGAGGGAGGGAGGGAGGGAGGAAGGAAUGGGGAGUGAAUGGGACAGAGUUUCAGUUGGGAAGAUGAGAAAGCUCUGGAGAUGGGUGGUGGUGAUGGUAGCACAACAAUGUGAACAUACUUAACACCACCAAACUGCUCAUUUAAUAAUGGUUAAAAUGGUAAAAUUUGUGUUAAGUAUUGUUUACCAUAAUAAAACUUAAAAAAAAAAAACAAAACAGAAACCAUUUGCACAGCCUCUCUUACAUGGAGGAAGGUGACCUGGAGGGGUAGAGAAACAUGGUUAGUGUCAUGGGAACACAAAGGAAUGUGACAAUCCUGUCUUUGAGGAGCUUGCAGGUUGUGGGGGGAGAGAUGGAUUUGACAACAAUAAUUGGGAAAACGCAGAUGCAGAAGGAGGGAAAGAGGGAGGCUGAAUCAGAACUCAGAGGAAGGAGCUGUUGGAGUCUGAGGGCUCAGGGCAGGAAUUCUGGAAGAAGAAAUGCUUGCCUGGGGCUCCCAAGGUGUAUUAGUCUGUUUUUAAACUGCUGAUAAAGACAUACCUGAAGCUGGGAAAUUUACAAAAGAAAGAGGUUUAUUGGACAUACAGUUCCAUGUGGCCUGGGAGGCCUCACAAUCAUGGUGGAAGGUGAAAGGCACGUCUCACAUGGUGGCAGACAAGAGAAGAGAACUUGUGCAGGGAAACUCUGCUUUUAAAAAUCAUCAUAUCCUGUGAGAGUUAUUCACUAUCAUGAGAACAGCACAGGAAAGACCAGUCCCUAUGAUUCAAUUACCUCCCACUGGGUGCCUCGCACAACACGUGUGAAUCCACAAUUAGAUUUUGGUGAGGACACAGCCAAACCAUAUCACAUGGUCUGGUGGGAUCUUGCAUUUUGAAGAGUGGGAGUGAGGCUGAGCUCAGCGAGGUGGGGACCAGAGCAAAACACUUGCUGGGGGCUGGUGCUGAGGCCCUGGAGGAGCAACCUAGGCAGAAGAGUGGGUUCCUAAGGAGAGCGGAGGGAGGUUGUGGUGGCUACAGACCAUGGGAGUCCUGACUUUUUUUUUUUUUUUAAUGAACUUUCUAAUUUUGGAAUAAAUUUAGAAUUACCAAAAAGUUGCAAAGAUAAUGCAGAGAGGUCCCAUAUACCCCUCAGCCAGUUUCCCCUAGGGUUAAGAUCUUACAUUACUGUGGUACAUUUGUACAACUAAUGAGCCAAUAUUGAUAUAUUCUUAACUAAAGUCCUCACGUUAUUAAGAUUUCAUUAGUUUUCCCUACUGUCCUUUUGCAGGAUUCCAUCCAGAAUACCCAACUUGCACCCAUCCAAAGUCGCAAAGCUAUCCCAGUACACUCCACAAUCAGUUUCCCUUAUUAUUAUGAAUAUCUCAUAUUAGGGUGGUACAUUUGUUACAAUUAAUGAACCAGUAUUGAUACAUUAUCAUUAAUAAAA
rnacentral:lncRNA from 1 species